rnacentral:lncRNA from 1 species
AAAGAAUAUAUAUUUAUCUUAUUCCCAAUUAAAAUAAGGAAAGAUUUGAUUUUAUUUCUAAAAUAAAAUAAAAAAAAUUUAUUUCUAAAAUAAAAUUUUAUUUGAUAAUUUGAUUAAAAAUGAUUUGAUCAAUAUUUGAAAAGAUUUAAUAAAAGAUGUCCAAGAUAUCUUUGGGAGAGCUCCUUGGGAGUUGUUUUUGCUAAGAUUUUCGUUUUUUUAAGACUUGCAUGAUCGAACUCUGCGGAUCGUUCAGAAAUUUAAAACAGGACUCAAAGACUCAAAAGUAUUUUGCACGAUCGUUACUCCAAAGGCGUGACUCUCGCGCAGUGGGCAAAUGUGGGCCCAAGUGCAAAUUAGGGUUCACUUGACCUAAUUGAAUUAAAUGCACAAAUUAAGCUUCACAUUAUGAUUAAAUGAAAAGACGGAAGUGCCGAAAAUAAAGAAGCAAGACCUGAGAGAAUCUUCCACGUGUUCCGAGGCAGAAGACACGUGGAGGCGACUCAUUUUGGGAAUUGAUUGAGGGAUUGGAUUGGUGGCUAGAAUGACAGGAUGAUCCGGGCAUUACUCUAAUGACUAAGGGUAAAUUUGGAAUUUCUCCGAGGUCAUGUGCCUAACACAUGACCAUUCUCCAGAAAAUCCUAUAAAUACCCCUUCCACUCUAUUGGGAAGGGGACGGCUCUUCAGACUCAAGACUUGGACUCUUGGAAGAUCAAAGGGACCCUUUUGGUGACUUAAAGACUUGGAGAUUCCA